UUUCUUUCCCCCAUCAUGCCUCUCCCCGUCUGCUAAAAAAACGACACGAGAGCUCGAGCGGUGACUGCGUCGUCGCCGCCGUUCCUGCGGCCUACGGGCUCCCCGGCGCUUGGAGUUGUCCCGAAGAGCCGCAGCCGUCGUCUUCAUCGGAGCCGGGGGGGCAACACCGUCGUCGUCACGUCGAUCCCCUUCGACGGACACUGCCUCUGCCCCGUCGUCGAUCCCCUCGACUCCAACUACCUCCGGCUCCCCUGAGCUCCUACGAACCCCCCUGUGAGCUCCUCCUCCGACUUCCGGCCUAGCCCCCGUCGAUCUGCCACCGUAGAGUCACCCCGCGAGCUCGCGCCCGUCGUGGCCGAAGCCCUGCCGCAACCGCACCGGGUUCGCCCCCGUGCACGCUCGCCGCAUCCAUAUGGUCGUGCUCCCCCGCGCGUCCGGCAGCUCCCUAGCCGUGUUCCGCAGCCACCCGCUCCCGCGCACGCUAGCUGCUCUGCUAUCGUUGAUGUCGCCUCCGCUACUCUGCUGCUCCUACAAGCUUGCUGUUAUUCAUCUGCUAGCUGACGCCGCUGCUGUUUUGCUGCUGCUCCUGCUAGUUAGUCGCUGCUGCUCCUAAGCGUUGCUCCUGUCUGCUAACUACUGCUGCUCCUAGAUGCUGCUGCUUGCCGCUGCUGAUUCCUCCUACUGCCGCUGCUUAGUUGCUGCUAAUGGCCAUGGCCGUGGCCAUGUCCAAGCACGUGUGGUGUGCCUGUGUAUGCACAGGCACCACUGGCAGGCCGUGCAAUUUAACUUGGGGACUAAUUACUACUCCCUCCGUUCCAAAUUACUUGUCGUCGUUUUAGUUCAAAUUUGAACUAAAACCACGACGAGUAAUUUGGAAUGGAGGGACGACGAGUAAUUUGGAACGGAGGGAGUAGCUAGUUUAACUACUAGCAUAUGACAAGUGGACCCUAGACUAAUUAAUCUAAUUAACUAGAAUAUUUUUAGUUGCUGCAUAUUACAUGUGGGCCACACCCUACCCAUUUGACCAGUCAAGUUGACUUGGUCAACUCGAAUUAAAAUAAAUCCAAAAUUUUAGAAUUUUCUUUUAAACUUUGAAAAAUCUUAUAAAAAUAACCGUAACUCGGAUGAAUAUGUUUUCAACAUGAGAGUUGCUCAGAAAGACGAGACGAAUCCAAAUACGCAGUCCGCUCGUCUCCCACAUGUCCCUAGCAUAACGAACCUGCAACGUUUCCCCUCCGAUUCGUCUGUAUGAAAAAGCCAAACUUCGGGAAAAAUUUCCCGAAUGUUUUCCCCCUUCGCCAGUAUCGCGUGACACCGCGUUAGGACACGCCUAGUGCUGCUUAUUGUCAUGUCAAUCUGUGUGCCUUAUAUUUACUGUUUCUCCCCCCUCUUCUUCUCUCCGAUAGACUCCGAGACCGCUGCUGAUGUUGCCCCUGUGAUCGACUACGUCGACGACGACACUUCUUCCCUUUCAGCAGAGCUUCCAGGCAAGCCCCCCCCCCUUGCUUAUUCUGAUAUCGCACAUUCCAUUCUCUCAUGCUUGCAUUAGAUUUUGUUGUUGUUAUUGUUUGCUCCUAUUCUGAUGCAUAGCCUGCUUUUGUAACCUGCUCAUUGUACCUUACCUGUUUAUCCUAAACUGCUUAGUAUAGGAUGGUUAGUGAUCCAUCAGUGACCCCCACCUUGUCCUUGUUGCCCCUGAUUCAUCAUCGAAGACCCGAUCAACUGGAUCGAAGAGCAGGCCCCGGCACCGCACAUCACUUUCCCCUUAGUUGCUCGACACUACUGGGUUACUAUCGAGUGCCGAGGGUGAGACCUCAUCAGCAUUUCUGAUGUUAACCCUGUAGUGUAGCUAUUCGGUCGUGGUCAUCGAGGGUGAUUUCCUCCUUAACCACUUCCGAUACGACUCUGUCAUGCAACCCCUCAAGUGUGAACCUCGAGGGUGGAUCCUCUUACGUUCACCUUGAUGAUUACAUCAAGUGGAAUUCAUCGGGGGUGAUUCCUCGGGUUUUCCCCUUGAUGUUUGGACACACGGAUACUUGGACUUUACAACUGUUACUUGGAAAGGCGGGCCGACCCUGAGGGGUACCCGCGAGUGACGUGGAGACGGGUUGACCUGGAGGGUGCCCGCGAGAUAAUUACGAGGCGUGGCCGGGCAUUCCUAGCCCUUGGAGCAAGUUCUCGAGACGGGGCAACGGGGUCACAUCUUUCGUGAGUCUCUGCUUGUUACUACGAUUUGGAUAUUUGAUCCGAGGGGCCUGAUACGUCUCCAAUGUAUCUAUAAUUUUUGAUUGCUCCAGGCUACUUUAUCUAUUGUUUUGGACUAUAUUGGGCUUUAUUUUCCACUUUUUUAUUAUUUUGGGGACUAACCUAUUAACCGGAGGCCCAGUCCAGAAUUGUUGUUUUUUGCCUAUUUCAGUGUUUCGAAGAAACGGAAUAUCAGGCGGAGUCCAAACGGAAUGAAACCUUCGGAAACAUGAUUUUCUCACCGAACGUGAUCCAGGAGACUUGCACUCUACUCCAAGAAGUGCCAGAGGCGGUCACAAGGGUGGAGGGCGCCCCCCUGGGCGCGCCCCCUACCUCGUGGGCCCCCUGUUGCUCCACCGACGUACUCCUUCCUCCUAUAUAUACCUACGUAUCCCCAAACGAUCAAGGAGGAGCCAAAAACCUAAUUCCACUGCCGCAACCUUCUGUAUCCACGAGAUCCCAUCUUGGGGCAUGUUCCGGAGCUCUGCCGGAGGGGGCAUCCACCACGGAGGGCUUCUACAUCAACACCAUAGCCCCUCCGAUGAAGUGUGAGUAGUUUACUUCAGACCUUCGGGUCCAUAGCUAGUAGCUAGAUGGCUUAUUCUCUCUUUUUGGAUCUCAAUACAAUGUUCUCCCCCUCUCGUGGAGAUCUAUUCGAUGUAAUCUUCUUUUUGCGGUGUGUUUAUUGAGACUGAUGAAUUGUGGGUUUAUGAUCCAGUUUAUCUAUGGAAAAUAUUUGAAUCUUCUCUGAAUUCUUUUAUGUAUGAUUGAGUUAUCUUUGCAAGUCUCUUCGAA
rnacentral:lncRNA from 1 species